AUGAGGAAAAAUGGGCUUGUUGCAAGCACAGUGAAACCACAUGUUCCUACUUUAUUCAUGUUUCUGUGGCUGCAGCUGGAUGGGGUGAGCCAUGGCCAGCAGGUGGAACAGCAUCCUUCUACCCUGGGAGUCCAGGAGGGAGCCAGCACUGUCAUCAACUGCACAUAUGUAGACACUGCCUCAUCCUACUUUCCUUGGUAUAAACAAGGACAUGGAAAGCAUCCUAAGCUCAUAAUAGACAGUGAUUCAAAUAUGGAAAGAAAGCAGGAUGAAAGACAAUUUUUUUGAUAAGAAAGCCAACCACUUCCUCAUGCACAUCACAGACACCCAGCCUGGAGACGCUGCCAUGUACUUCUAUGUUGCAAGGGCACACUGCUCUCCAGGCACCUGCAGCCUCUCCUCAAAUCUGUCAGAGGGCCUGGAGCCCCAUCAACAACCUGGAUCACAGGCCCUCCAGUGCAGCAUAUGCCAGUUGUUGUUUGAGGGAAAUCAGAAGAGGGCACUGCCUCUUCAGAUGUGGUUAACAUCUCAUCCAGGUGGUAGUUUCACAUGA